rnacentral:rRNA from 1 species
AGUGGACGCUGGCGGUAGGCCUAACACAUGCAAGUCGAACGGCAGCACAGUAAGAGCUUGCUCUUACGGGUGGCGAGUGGCGGACGGGUGAGGAAUACAUCGGAAUCUACUUUUUCGUGGGGGAUAACGUAGGGAAACUUACGCUAAUACCGCAUACGACCUACGGGUGAAAGCAGGGGAUCUUCGGACCUUGCGCGAUUGAAUGAGCCGAUGUCGGAUUAGCUAGUUGGCGGGGUAAAGGCCCACCAAGGCGACGAUCCGUAGCUGGCCUGAGAGGAUGAUCAGCCACACUGGAACUGAGACACGGUCCAGACUCCUACGGGAGGCAGCAGUGGGGAAUAUUGGACAAUGGGCGCAAGCCUGAUCCAGCCAUACCGCGUGGGUGAAGAAGGCCUUCGGGUUGUAAAGCCCUUUUGUUGGGAAAGAAAAGCAGCAGGUUAAUACCCCGCUGUUCUGACGGUACCCAAAGAAUAAGCACCGGCUAACUUCGUG